UCAACUGUUCAUUAAGUAGA
rnacentral:snRNA from 1 species